UACGGAAGGCAGCAGUGGGGAAUAUUGCACAAUGGGCGAAAGCCUGGUGCAGCUAUGCCGCGUGUAUGAAGAAGGCCUUAGGGUUGUAAAGUACUUUCAUCGGGGAGGAAAAAACAAAACUAAUAAUUUUAUUCUUGACGUUACCCGAAAAAGAAGCACCGGCUAACUCCGUGCCAGCAGCCGCGGUAAUACGGAGGGUGCUAGCGUUAAUCAGAAUUACUGGGCGUAAAGGGCACGCAGGCGGUUAAUUAAGUUGGAUGUGAAAUCCCCGGGCUUAACCUGGGAAUGGCAUUCAAGACUGGUUAGCUAGAGUCUUGUAGAGGGGGUAGAAUUCCAUGUGUAGCGGUGAAAUGCGUAGAGAUGUGGAGGAAUACCGGUGGCGAAGGCGGCCCCUGGACAAAGACUGACGCUCAUGUGCGAAAGCGUGGGGAGCAAACAGGGAUUAGAUACC
rnacentral:rRNA from 1 species